rnacentral:RNase_P_RNA from 1 species
GGAGUGGGUCAGGCAGCCGCUGCCUGUUCAGAAUUCUGUUCUGAGCGGGGGGAGGAAAGUCCGGGCUUCGCAGGGCAGGAUGCUGGCUAACGGCCAGGCGUUAUAAGUCUGUAACAAGACCCAAGGCGACGGAAAGUGCAACAGAGAACAGACCGCCGAUGGCUCCGCAAGGAGAUCAGGCAAGGGUGAAACGGUGGAGUAAGCGCCCACCGCAGGACUGGCAACAGGACUGGCAUGGCAAACCCCAUCCGAAGCAAGACCAAAUAGGGAAGCACACGGCGUGGCCCGCGCCGCUUCCGGGUAGGUCGCUUGAGCCGCGCAGCAAUGCGCGGCCUAGAGGAAUGGCUGCCAGAGGAUGCAAAUUCUCUACAGAACCCGGCUUAUCGACCGACUCCCCCU